rnacentral:lncRNA from 1 species
AAAGAAAGUUGGAUUGGAGAUAGGAUCAGUCCUAGAGUUGUGGAUUGAGAAACCUUUCAAUGUUACUGGUGCACAUGUACCACAAGUUGGGGAAGAGCAUAUAAUCAAAAUUGUAACACAGCGAUAUAUAUAAUUUCACAGUAUAAAUCAUGCGGCAUCUUCAUGCAUCACACUUAGAUUUCAGAAUUCAGAUAAACAAAUUAAUAAUACAUCUUUAUUAAAAAGAAGGUUAUUUGAUGUCUAAGCUCGAAAUCUGAACUUUCACAACCAUGAGGGGCAAUAAAGAAAUAUUAGUAUGUAAUCAAUAGAAGGUAAGGUUAGAGGCAGAGGAAGGUUGAUAUCUUGUGAUCAAUCAUGUGGUCUAGCCGGACAAACGACAUCUCCAAACAAGGAGGUAAGGCUAAUCAAAUCAAUACCUUUAUAGGUAAGGCUAAUCAAAACAAGAUUGUUAUCUUCUACCUUUUCCAUCUAAUUCUUAAAACCUUCAUAACCACUGUGUAUGCUUGUAUCCCCAUGUCUGGUAGGGUCAAAUAAGGAUGUUAGACAACAAAUUGAAUUGGUUGGUUCAAAAGAUAAUUUUUACCACCACAGCUCCACUCCAUGUUCUUGUUUGAUUUACCAAUUGGCCAAAAGUAGAAAUCUAUUAUAAUUGUACUUAUCUAUGAGAAAGUACCCAAUUUAGUCGCUGGAAUUAGACAUUUCAUAACCUUAGUUCCUCAUUUUAUAUAAAUAUUGUCAAGUUAGUCCCUCCGUUAAUUUUAGUCUGCUAUGUAGUGGUUUUU